GUGCCAGCCGCGCGGUAAUACCGGCAGCCCAAGUGAUGGCCGAUCUUAUUGGGCCUAAAGCGUCCGUAGCUGGCCGCGCAAGUCCAUCGGAAAAUCCACCUGCCCAACGGGUGGGCGUCCGACGGAAACUGCACAGCUUGGGACCGGAAGGCUCGAAGGGUACGUUCGGGGUAGGAGUGAAAUCCCAUAAUCCCGCACGGACCACCGAUGGCGAAAGCACUUCGAGAAAACGGAUCCAACAGUGAGGGACGAAAGCCAGGGUCUCCAACCGGAUUAGAAACCCUAGUAGUCC
rnacentral:rRNA from 1 species